rnacentral:rRNA from 1 species
CCUACGGGUGGCAGCAGUGGGGAAUAUUGGACAAUGGGCGAAAGCCUGAUCCAGCCAUGCCGCGUGUGUGAAGAAGGCCUUCGGGUUGUAAAGCACUUUCAGUGGGGAAGAAAGCCUUGGGGCUAAUACCCUCGAGGAAGGACAUCACCCACAGAAGAAGCACCGGCUAACUCCGUGCCAGCAGCCGCGGUAAUACGGAGGGUGCGAGCGUUAAUCGGAAUUACUGGGCGUAAAGCGCGCGUAGGCGGUCUGAUAAGCCGGUUGUGAAAGCCCCGGGCUCAACCUGGGAACGGCAUCCGGAACUGUCAGGCUAGAGUGCAGGAGAGGAAGGUAGAAUUCCCGGUGUAGCGGUGAAAUGCGUAGAGAUCGGGAGGAAUACCAGUGGCGAAGGCGGCCUUCUGGACUGACACUGACGCUGAGGUGCGAAAGCGUGGGUAGCAAACAGGAUUAGAUACCCUUGUAGU